UGGUAAAAAAGUUAUUUGGUUAUGGAAGUUCAUCAACAAGCAUGAAGUGGCACCCUCCAUUGAUGGUCCAGUCUUUUUGUAUCGACAGCAAUAUCGGAACCAUAGCUCAAGCUAAAGAAUUGAUGUUCUAUUUAAGAACCAACACUUUCUGCAUUGCAAUCACCUUAUACGAUAAGAUCGAAAUAAAGUCGACCUUAGGAAGAUCGACUGAAAGGAGAACUUGACUAACUCAUUGACUACAGCAAUC
rnacentral:lncRNA from 1 species